AUUGAACGCUGGCGGCAGGCCUAACACAUGCAAGUCGAACGAGUGGCGGACGGGCGAGUAAUGUCUGGGAAACUGCCUGAUGGAGGGGUCGCACUACUGGAAACGGUAGCUAAUACCGCAUACCAUCAGAUGUGCCCAGAUGGGAUUAGCUAGUUGGUGGGGUAACGUUUCACAAAGGCGACGAUCCCUAGCUGGUCCGCGAGGGUGACAGGCAAACAGGGAACGGAGAAACGGUCCGGACUCUUCCGGGAGGCAGCAUAGGGGAAUAUGGCACAAUGGACGCAAGCAUAAUGCAGCCAUGCCGCGUGUAUGAAGAAGGCUUUCGGGUUUAAAAGUACUUUCAGCGGGGAGGCGUUACCCGAAGAAGAAGCGCCGGCUAACUCCGUGCCAGCAGCCGCGGUAAUAC
rnacentral:rRNA from 1 species